GCUUAACGCGAAGAACCUUACCAGGGCUUGAAUGCAUUAUGACAGGGGUGGAGACACCUUUUCCUUCGGGCAUUUUGCAAGGUGCUGCAUGGUUGUCGUCAGCUCGUGCCGUGAGGUGUCAGGUUAAGUCCUAUAACGAGCGCAACCCCUACCGUUAGUUGCCAGCGGGUCAUGCCGGGGACUCUAGCGGGACUGCCGGUGCAAACCGUGAGGAAGGUGGGGAUGACGUCAAAUCAUCACGGCCCUUACGUCCUGGGCCACACACGUGCUACAAUGGCCGGUACAGAGAGCGGCCACGCCGCAAGGCGGAGCGAAUCUACAAAACCGGUCACAGUUCGGAUCGGGGUCUGCAACCCGACCCCGUGAAGCUGGAAUCGCUAGUAAUCGGAUAUCAGCCAUGAUCCGGUGAAUACGUUCCCGGGUCUUGUACACACCG
rnacentral:rRNA from 1 species